AACGUAGGGGGCCAGCGUUGCUCGGAAUUACUGGGCGUAAAGGGUCCGUAGGCGGUGUGGCAAGUCGGUAGUGAAAUCUCUGGGCUUAACUCAGGGGCUGCUUCCGAAACUGCUGUGCUAGAGUGCGAGAGAGGCGAGUGGAAUUCCUGGUGUAGCGGUGAAAUGCGUAGAUAUCAGGAGGAACACCUGUGGCGAAAGCGGCUCACUGGACCAUAACUGACGCUGAUGCACGAAAGCUAGGGGAGCAAACAGG
rnacentral:rRNA from 1 species